CAGUAGUCAUAUGCUUGUCUCAAAGAUUAAGCCAUGCAUGUCUAAGCACAAACUUUAACACGGUGAAGCUGCGAAUGGCUCAUUAGGUCACCCAUUAUUUCUUGGAUCGUACAAUCCUACUUGGAUAACUGUGGCAAUUCUAGAGCUAAUACAUGCGAGCAAGCUCCGACCCGUUCUCGGGAAAGAGCGCGUUUAUUAGAUCAAAACCAAUCGGGUCUUCGGGCUCGUACGUUUGGUGACUCUGGAUAACUUCGAGCGGAUCGCACGGGCUCGACCCGGCGACGUAUCUUUCAAGUGUGUGCCCUAUCAACUUUCGAUGGUACGCGAUAUGCCUACCAUGGUUGUAACGGGUAACGGGGAAUCAGGGUUCGAUUCCG
rnacentral:rRNA from 1 species